rnacentral:rRNA from 1 species
UGCGUAGGCGGCUUAUUAAGUCAGAUGUGAAAGCCCCGGGCUUAACCUGGGAACUGCAUUUGAUACUGGUAAGCUAGAGUAUGGUAGAGGGGGGUAGAAUUCCUAGUGUAGCGGUGAAAUGCGUAGAUAUUAGGAGGAAUACCAGUGGCGAAGGCGGCCCCCCUGGACCAAUACUGACGCUGAGGUACGAAAGCGUGGGUAGCGAACA